CGGGUGAGUAAUGCUUAGGAAUCUGCCUAUUAGUGGGGGACAACAUUCCGAAAGGAAUGCUAAUACCGCAUACGCCCUACGGGGGAAAGCAGGGGAUCUUCGGACCUUGCGCUAAUAGAUGAGCCUAAGUCAGAUUAGCUAGUUGGUGGGGUAAAGGCCUACCAAGGCGACGAUCUGUAGCGGGUCUGAGAGGAUGAUCCGCCACACUGGGACUGAGACACGGCCCAGACUCCUACGGGAGGCAGCAGUGGGGAAUAUUGGACAAUGGGCGAAAGCCUGAUCCAGCCAUGCCGCGUGUGUGAAGAAGGCCUUUUGGUUGUAAAGCACUUUAAGCGAGGAGGAGGCUACCGAGAUUAAUACUCUUGGAUAGUGGACGUUACUCGCAGAAUAAGCACCGGCUAACUCUGUGCCAGCAGCCGCGGUAAUACAGAGGGUGCGAGCGUUAAUCGGAUUUACUGGGCGUAAAGCGUGCGUAGGCGGCUUUUUAAGUCGGAUGUGAAAUCCCUGAGCUUAACUUAGGAAUUGCAUUCGAUACUGGGAAGCUAGAGUAUGGGAGAGGAUGGUAGAAUUCCAGGUGUAGCGGUGAAAUGCGUAGAGAUCUGGAGGAAUACCGAUGGCGAAGGCAGCCAUCUGGCCUAAUACUGACGCUGAGGUACGAAAGCAUGGGGAGCAAACAGGAUUAGAUACCCUGGUAGUCCAUGCCGUAAACGAUGUCUACUAGCCGUUGGGGC
rnacentral:rRNA from 1 species